GGCGAACGCUGGCGGCGUGCUUAACACAUGCAAGUCGAACGGAAAGGCCCUGCUUUUGUGGGGUGCUCGAGUGGCGAACGGGUGAGUAACACGUGAGUAACCUGCCCUUGACUUUGGGAUAACUUCAGGAAACUGGGGCUAAUACCGGAUAGGAGCUCCUGCUGCGUGGUGGGGGUUGGAAAGUUUCGGCGGUUGGGGAUGGACUCGCGGCUUAUCAGCUUGUUGGUGGGGUAGUGGCUUACCAAGGCUUUGACGGGUAGCCGGCCUGAGAGGGUGACCGGCCACAUUGGGACUGAGAUACGGCCCAGACUCCUACGGGAGGCAGCAGUGGGGAAUAUUGCACAAUGGGCGGAAGCCUGAUGCAGCAACGCCGCGUGCGGGAUGACGGCCUUCGGGUUGUAAACCGCUUUCGCCUGUGACGAAGCGUGAGUGACGGUAAUGGGUAAAGAAGCACCGGCUAACUACGUG
rnacentral:rRNA from 1 species